rnacentral:lncRNA from 1 species
GAACAAUGGCGCUGUCAUGGCCCAGCAGAGCAGCUCUGAAGAUGCAAAGCAUUCUGGGUGUGGACGAUCAGCCAGUGAAGAUAAUGAAUGUCGGAUGUCACUGACUAGCAGCUUCAUUUUGAAUGAGGGUCGCUGUCUGCCCAUUGAUAAGAGGCCAGAUUGUCUUGGAAGUUCCAAAGUUGCAACGAUUUCUGGCUAGUGCCACGAGGUUUACUUGACUGUUGUAUGAAAAGCUGAUAAGAAAACCAUCCAGAAAAAAAGCUCUUCGUUUUACAAACACGAAAAUAAAACAUGUAAUUUUGGAUUAUGUUGUUUUUAA